CAACGCCCUAGGCCGGGCCACGGCGGGGACCCUGUCCAGGUGGCCGGGAGGGUACAGGAAUCCCUCAGCCCCAAGUCCAUGGCUGGGGAGAAAUCCUCGGGUGGGGGCAGCAGCGUCAGGGCUGACCAUCCACCCCCCAGCCAUGAGCCCGGGGGCUCUGCUACCUGGGAGUCUCUGCUAAUUGGCCCCAGCGCCUCCCAGGCUGAACGUUGCUCAAACAUGUCAACCUUGCUGCUUGAUUGACAACCUGUCACUGUUUCGUGAGGUUUCUGAGGUGUUCCCGGGACUCAGCAACCUUGAAAGUUGGAUAAAGAACUCCAGGAAACUGGCAAGUCAGUCAGCGGCCAGAAGGUGAAGAGGCUGGGUGCAGUGGCUCACACCUGUAAUCCCAGCACUUUGGGAGGCCAAGGUGGGAGGAUCGCUUGAGCACAGGAAUUUGAGACCAGCCUGGGCAACAUAGAGAGAACCCCUCUCUACAAAAAAAAAAUUCACCGGGUGUGGCGGCACAUGCCUGUAGUCCCAGCUAUUCAGAAGGCUGAGGCAGGAGGAUUCCUUGAGUCCAGGAGUUUGAGGCAGCAGUGAGCUGGAAGUGAGGCGCUGGAGCCACAUCCCGCAGGCGCCAUAACGAAGGGACGUGAGGCCGCAACUGAUGAGCCAAUCCCCAUGCGCCUGCCACGCCAGCCACGCCCCUGCACUGCUGACCCCAGUGUGAGCCCCUGCCUCCAGCCCUGGCCUGACCGAAGCACCCAGCCCCAUCCCUGGUCACAAUGACCUCCUGCCAAGCUUUCAGCAGGCGUUUUCUCAGCAGCUCCCUGCAACAUUUAGUCACAAGCCCAUUUUUCAGGAGAGGAAACUGAGGCGCAGGGAGAGUGAGCCUGAGGGACCUGCCCUGGUGGGUGCAUACCCCCACAAGCCCUGGAUCCCCAAUCCACUGCCCAGGGGUGCACCCAAAGAGGUGGGUUUGGCCCUCCUGGACCACCCUGGAUCCUCUUGUGCAGGAGGGACUCCAAGUAGACUGAGGAGCUCUUCCCUUCCAGCAGUUGAGAUGUGGAGGGAGAAGGAAGAAGGGGGAGAGUGUUUACCAGCCAAGAGGACGUGGGAUGGGUGUGAGGCUGGCCUUUGAGGAGCAUGGACUGGGCGGGGACCUACCGGUGGGUUGUACAUGGGGAAGCCCAUGGGCCCCGAGCAGGGAACCUGGAAUAAUUGAACAUAAAAAUUCACAUGCAUUUGGCCAGGCGCAGUGGCUCACACCUGUGAUCCCAGCAUUUUGGGAGGCCGAGGUGGGAGGAUCACUUGAGGUCAGGAGUUUGAGACCAGUCUGGCUAACAUGGCGAAACCCCGUCUCUACUAAAAAUACAAAAAAAUUAGCCAGGCGUGGUGGCGCACGCCUAUAGUCCCAGCUACUUGGGAGGCUGAGGCAGGAGAAUUGCUUGAACCCAGGAGGUGGAGGUUAC
rnacentral:lncRNA from 1 species